UUCAAAUAAGCAAAAAAACUACUCAAAAAUAAGCAAAAUAUAGAAUAGAAAAAAAAAUUAAAAAAUGAACAAAAAAUAUGAAAAAUAAGAAAAAUAGAAAAAAAAAACAAAAAAUUUAAAAAAUAAGAAAAAUUAAAAAAAAAACGGUUUCAAAAUUACAAAAGAAAAUUAUGGAAAAAUUCUAAAAUAAUAAAUAAAUCUAAUUAAAAAAAUGUCUCAUUGUCUCAUUUUUUCCUGUUCCAAGUCUGACUCAAAAUUUGAGUUUCCCUGUUCGGCUUCAAUUAUUCCCUAUGUUUCUCUCAGCAAAUCCUUUAAAUAGAUCAAAUCGCCCAUUUCGAAAGCUGAAAAAUAAUUCAGCUAACAAGAAGCUCCCUUCAUUCAGUCAACCCUGUUACAGAAAAUUCCUGCAAAGCCACAGCGCCAACAAAUGAUAUGCAAAGCAGCCAGAAAGGGAUUUAAAUUAUUCACAGUCCAACGGGUGCUCGCGCUUUAUUUCGCUUGGCUUAGUGGCUGGCAGUCUUCAUUGUAAGAGAAAAUAAAAAAAAUCCUUAAGGACACAAAAUAUUCCCGAAGGAAGAAUCUGCUGGCUACCGCAGAACACCUUCCAGCAGGAGGGUUCGAAAAGCUUCGUUCAGCUUCGUUUUACUUUUUUUUAUCCUAGUCAAGUGUGACACACCAAUGACAUUAAUAACAGCAACAAAAACAACUACUACAACAAGACUAAAAAGAGGAUGGUGUUUAAAAUUGUGGCAUUCAAAAAUCUCUUUGCAAAAGACGAACAGGGGGAGAAAAAGGAUUUUGCUACUGCCUCGCGCUAUUAAGAUAAUCAUCUCUAGAUUCAACACUCUGUGUGUUGUGUCAUGUCUUCAGCGGGAGGGUUGAUUGUGACUUUUGUUUUCCGAUGUGUUUUCAGUCGUUUGUCUUUUUCCCUUUUUUUGUUGGUUUUUUGCGUCCUUUUUUUUAUUGAAUUCACCGUUCAUUCGAAACCAACAACAACCCCAUGCCCUUCGAAAGGGUUUCCGGUAGAAUGGUUCUGGGCCAACGUUCGUUUCUAUCUGAAGUUUGAAGUAAAUUACUGAUUGAGAUUGGGUUGAGCUUUCUUUAGGAAAAAUUCUGCUGACAACGACGGUAAUGAGGUACUUGAGUUGGGACGAAUUUUUUUAUUUCUUGCAACCAUGAAAUGAGGAAAUUUUGCAAUCCCUUUUUCAAUGACGAUCUGAACUUCUUCUUUUGUUAAAGUUUUGCUAAAAUAUUUUGACUGUUUUAAAGCUGUUCAAAAGCAACAGUUCAAGCUCUUAAUAGAAUCAAAUAAAUUUCUAAGCGCCGUGCUACUUCCGCCGAUUGAAUUUAGCACAUCCGGCAAACGAUUCUUUCCACAGCUCUCCAAUCUCAGCGAGUACUAAGCAAUCGUUUAGCAGACGGAUUUCGAAUCAGAAAACCAAACGAAAACCAACCGAGAUUCCUACACUCGAAGAAAUUAGCCGGGAUCGUUCCCGUUGUCUUUUUACAAGGUUUAGUCCUUCUUGUUGAGAGGAGCAAAAAAAAAUCCGACCGCAAAAAGUCCGCCCAAAUGAUUCCCAUUUCUCAAACAACGAGGAGAAGCUUAGAAAGGAGCGACAACUUCGUUCCUUUCCGGAGUUCAAGACGACGACGACGACAUCCUACUUGAGCCGGGAAUAUGUUUGGAGAAGCAGCAGAUUUUCCGCCCUGAAUCCUUAUCCUAUUCGGUGGAGAAUUCUUCCGCUGUUUGCCAAAAAGUUCGCCCGGUGCUUUUUGGCUUCUGGUCGGAAAAUCGUUUUUCUUAGAGCCCCUCAAGGGUUUUCUACACCGAAGAAAAAAGACACAACCAGUUCGUGUGUUUCGUCUUUCAAUUUCUAACUGCUUUUUUUUAUCUAAAGCUUUGGGAAAUGACACUGGUUCUAACAUCGUGACACAAGCUGUUUCCCGGAAUCCGACUAGUGUUCCCCAAGAAGAGUGAUUGGCAAAAUUCGGAAUCGAACACGGGAUUCUUUUCUAUUUACAGAUGAAAAGAAAGAACACGGAACCAAACAAUUUAAACUAAUUGUAUCCACUUUAGGGCGCGCUUGAGCUGUGAGCUGUUAUACAGCGCUCUAUCGGUUGAUGGUGCUUAAGAAGUUGGCGCUAGGUCAUCUUGGGAUUAGUUGCUGAGAGGUGAAACAUUCUUCUCUCUGGAGAAGGAAUUUGUUCGCACUUCAUCGGGUUCCACGAUGGAAUGUUCGGAAAGAACUAAAUUUGUUCUGUCGAUCUCUGUCGGAUUUAGUAAAACCUUUCAGAGAAGCUAAAUAUCUAAUGAUUCAAACAAAUUGAGGUCAUUUGAUCCUUUGUUAGAACAUUAAGGACCUAAUAUGGGAUAUUUAAUUUUUAGCUUUCCUUCUCAGCUUAAAAGAAUAACUCAAAAAUAUGCUGGAUAGCAUAUCGGAGUUCCUUCUUUGAGGUUUAGCGGUUUUUGAUACAUAAAAUAAUUGUCCAAUUUCAAUGUUACGUAUGAAUUGAAUUCAGUGGGUACUUAUUUUACUACCCUUGGGAACGUCUAGACUUCAGACAAUAACCAUAUUUCUCUUUCAAUAACUGAACUUCAGUACACACAGUACCAAUUCUCGACCAUGGAUUUGACUCGUGGUUGUGGUUUGUACGACAGCAAUUUCAACCCGAAUUAGGUUCGUAGUUUUCCUGAGUACAACACAAGUUCUUCAUCACGAGUCAGACUCGCGGUAUUCGCCGAUGUGGAAAAAAUCUAUCCUACUACGAGUCAGGCUCGUGGUUUUUUUUGUAUAGCACUGAUUCUUUUUUAAAGUCAGCCUCCUGAUUUAAACUUGCUCAAAAUUUUUUUUAUCACGAGUUUGGCUCGUGGUUUUUGAUUGAACAACACAAAUUAUUUUAAACGAGUCAGACUCGUGGUUUUCGUUUUAACGGCAAAAAUUUUAUACCGUGAGUCUACCUUAUAUUCUCCACCAAAAGUCAAACUUGUGGUUUUUGCUUUUCAGUGCAAAUUCUUUACCAUGAGUCAAACUCGUGAUAUUUACUUGUAGGACACAGAUUCUUUGCCACUAGUUAGACUUGUGGUUUAGCUUGUAGGGUGCAAUUACUAUAUCACGUGUAGGAAUGUGAUUUUUUUUUUGGUUUUUUGGCAACACUAAUUCUUUUUCACGAGUCAGCCUUGUGGAUUCAAGGUUGCCGAAAUCACAGAAAAUUCUGUAUUGUCACAGAAUUUUGAACAAAAUUUCGUCACAGAAUCUGUGCACAGAUCACAGAAUUUUUAAAUUAUCACAGAAUUUAGUAUUAUUAUUAUAUUUAUUAUUUUUUAUCACAUAUUUUUAAGAUUUUGAACAGAUUUCUAAAAUUAUAAAUUUCUGUAUCACUUUCGGUUUUUUAUUUAUGACUAUAAUUCAUGAAAAUAUGAAAACUACGUAACGUAAAUUGAUUUUUUCUAUUGAAACAGUUCAAUUUGUUUAUAUUUCACAUGAUUAUCCAAUGAAUUUUGAAUUUUGAAGAACAAAAACACAGAUUUUUUUUUCGGCUACUUUGCUGGUGAUUUCAGCUCGCAUAGCUGAAAUUUCUUAUCAGAAGUCAAGCUCGUCUGUUUUGCUUGAACAGCAAAAAUCAAUUUCGACAAGAGCCAGAUGUAGGGAUGCGGUAAAAGAUAUGCAGAGUAUUAAUUAUAUUUAAUUAAAAAUAUAAUAAAAUAAAAUAAAAGUUGUAUUCGGCAACACUGAAGAUGAAUAGAAUAAAGUAAAUGUCCAUGGCAACGUUUGUUAUUUUGGCAACACUAGGCAAAACAAACAAAACAAAGUGAUCUUUUCUUGUGAGCGACAGACGUGUCGUAGUGAAUCUCACAAUUGAGAUUCGUAAAAUCACGACAAUGGCGUGAUUGAUAGAAUAAGCUUAAAUAGCGCAGAUAUUUAAGGCUGCUGCUGCUGAUGGUUUUGAUUUGGCCUUCCGGUUUAAUAAGACGGAUUGGCUUUAGAAACGCAGUUUUUUUUAGGCUGCUGCUGCUAAUUGUUUCGAUUUGGCCUUCCGGUGGAAUAAGACGGAAUUGGCUUUAGAAGCGCAGAUUUUUAAGGCUGCUGCUGCUGAUUGUUUUGAUUUGACCUUCCGGUGGAAUAAGACGAAAUUGGCUUUAGAAGCGCAGAUUUUAUGGCUGCUGCUGCUGAUUGUUUUGGUUUGGCCUUUCGAUUGAAUAAGACGUAGAAGCGCAGAUUUUCAAGGCUGCUGCUGCUGAUUGUUUUGAUUUGACUUUCAGGUGGAAUAAGACGGAAUUGGCUUUAGAAGUGCAGAUUUUCAAGACUGCUGCUGCUGGUUGUCUUAAUUUGACCUUCCGGUGGAAUAAGACUGAAUUGGCUUUAGAAGCGCAGAUUUUCAAGGCUGCUGCUGCUGACUGUUUUGAUUUGACCUUCCGAUGGAACAAGACUGAAUUGGCUUUAGUAGCCCAGCUUUUUUGGGCUGCUGCUGCAGAUGGUUUUGAUUUGACCUUCCGGUGGAAUAAGACGGAAUUGGCUUUAGAAGCGCAGAUUUUAUGGCUGCUGCUGCAGAUUGUUUUGGUUUGGCCUUUCGAUUGAAUAAGACGCAGAAGCGCAGAUUUUCAAGGCUGCUGCUGCUGAUUGUUUUUAGUUGGCCUUCCAAAGGAAUAAGACGGAAUUGGCUUUAGAAGCGCAGAUUUUUAAGGCUGCUGCUGCUGACUGUUUUGAUUUGACUUUCCGGUGGAAUAAGCACAAAUAGCGCAGAUAUUUAAGGCUGCUGCUGCUGAUUGUUUUGAUUUGGCCUUUCUGUUGAAUAAGACGGAUUAGCUUUAAAAGCGCAGAUUUUUAAGGCUGCUGCUGCUGACUGUUUUGAUUUGACUUUCAGGUGGAAUAAGACUAAAUUUGCUUUAGAAGCGCAGAUUUUUAAAGCUGCUGCUGCUGAUUGAUUUGAUUUGGCCUUCCGGUUGAAUAAGGCGGAUUGGCUUUAGAAGCGCAGAUUUUUAAGGCUGCUGCUGCUGAUUGUUUUGAUUUGAUCUUCCAGUGGAAUAAGACUGAAUUUGCUUUUGAAGCGCAGAUUUUGAUGGCUGCCGCUGCUGAUUGUUUUGGUUUAGCCUUCCGGUUGAAUAAGACAGAUCGGCUUUAGAAGCGCAGAUUUCAAGGCUGCUGCUACUGAUUGUUUUUAUUUGGCCUUUCGAUGGAAUAAGACGAAAUUGGCUUUAGAAGUGCAGAUUUUUGAGGCUGCUGCUGCUGAUUGUUUUGAUUUGGCCUCCUAAAUUCAUCCCAAAUGAGAUUCGAAAAAUCACGACAACAGACUCAUGGUUUUCACUUGUUCCGUGUAUAUUCUUAAUCAAGAGUCUAACUCGUGGUUUUCGCUUUUCAGUACAACUUCUGUACCACGAGUCAAACUCAUGGUACUCGCUUAUGAGGCACCAAUUAUUUGUCAUGAAACAAACUCGUGAUUUCCGCUUGCACGGCUCAAAUUUCUCACCACGAGUCAGGCUCGGAUUUAUCGCUUGUACAGCACAAGUUAUUUACCACGAGUCUGACACGUGGUUUUCGACUGUGCUUCAAAAAUUCUAUACCACGAGUCUAACUCGUAAUUUCUGCUUGUAUGACCUAAAUUCUUAGUCAAGAGUAAAACUCGUGAUUUUUUUUCGGUUUCAGCACAAAUUUUGUACUAAACUCGUGGUUACCGCUUGUAAAGUACAAAUGCUUUAACACGAGUCCAACUCGUGAUUUGCACUCCUACUAUUCACUCAGACUCUUUAGAAGUCAGGCUCGUGAUUCUAGCUUGAACGUUAGACUCGUUUUUGUCGCGGGUCGGACACGAAGUUUCCGCAUUUUUGGCAUAAAUUCUGUACCACGAGUCAAACUCGUGGUUGUCACUUGUACAGCACUUAUUAUUCACUCCAAGUUCAUAUCUAAUUGUAUAGGUUAAGGAAGUGCCACCUCUAUCCCGGUCCUACUUCUCCUAAAUAAUGAGAUAUAGCGUUAAGAUAAAUCUACGAAUCAAUUGAACGGUGAUCAACUUAUUUUAAAAAUUACUCCAAGUCAGAAUAGUGAUGAUUGUUUGUGAAUUCGGUUUUUACACCGCAAACUCAUCACGAGUCAGACCCGCAAUUUUUACUUGUGCGGCAUAAAUCUCCACCAAGCGUAAAAUUGGUUGUUUUAACUUUUUCGGUAGUAAUUCUAAGUGACAUUCGGAUUCUUCACUAAUGCCAUAUUCGUUUUCAUCCUGUUGGUGCACAACCAUCUUUCCACCAGAUGAAAACGAAUAUGGCAUAAGAACCAGUACACAUUUAAAUCAAAUUAAAGAGUUUAAAAUGAAGUCUCAAACUAAGUCCACAUUCAAACGCGUGGGAAAGUUUCGUCAAUUCUCUUUUGAACCGAGAAUCGGCUAACACAUUUCCGUCUAACAACAAAUAGUUGCUUGCUGCUGACAACAGUGUAAUUUUCAUCAAUUUGAUUGUGGUCUUCCCUCACACAACGGCGGCCAAACUCCACCGGAAAGCGAAGCACACAUUUUUCCUCUUUAUUGUGCAGUUUAGGAUUGUUGGGUUGUUUUUCUUCUCUCGACGAAGAUCGGAAUUCGGUUCGGAAUCUUCGGCUCGAUCGGAGUUAAAAAUGUUAUCGCAAUUUAUCGGGAUUUAACAUUCCAAGUCGAUGUUUGGUUGGAUGCUCAAUCGGGAUCGGCGGGAGUGUUUUUGUAUUUCGUGUUUUCUUCCCUUCAGUGUUGGGGAAGCUGUCUGUGGAGCCAAUAUCGUAGAUCACCCAGGGACACGAUUACACGGUGGGUUUUUUAUCGAGCGAACGAAAGCACUCACUCACAGGUGGGAGGAAUUUGACGACAGCAUCGGCGGCAACAACAACAGUUCAUAACUCAAGUAGCUUAACCUUCUUCUUCCUUCAUUGGGGUGGGGGGUUUCCUCCUUCAUCUGUGCGUGUCGUACGUUGGGUUUUUUCUUCUGAAAAGCAUCCAAAGAAGGCACACCAAGAGAACGGAAAGAAGGUUGAAUACUUCUGACUGCCAUCGCCCAACCAGCUCAUCCAGUCUUUUGCUUUUUCCAUCGAGUAUGGAUAUUUUUUUCGGGCUAUAACCUUCUUCUGACUGACGGUGAAUCCAAAACGGCACACUGCAUCAAUCCGUAAAUACGACGACGAGGAAGGAAGGUAAUCUAGUGGAAGGUCGCUGCUAGUGUUGGUGCCACAUUGGCAACCGUGCCGCUAUUCGUUGAUGUUGGUGAAAAGAGGGAUUCGGUCAUGAUUCUUCCAGUGUGGUGGUAGUGCUGCUGCUGCUAGUUGAAAUCUUAAGAAUGGCAAUAAAUGCAUCGAAAGCCACCGGACCGAACCUAACAGAAGACCGACCGAAGGCAGGCAAAAAGGCAGAUUUGCAAACAAGUUACUUUUGCUUUGGUUCGUUUCCAGGAGUUGACCUGACUGCAGCGAGUAAGCAAGCAGACAGGCAGAAGGGGGAAAACUUCUGCUGCUGAAACGGAACACAUGGAAGCAGCAAAAUUGAUAUCCACAUCAUGUAGCGCAGGGGCCAGCAGAGUAGAGCCACUUACUCUAUGGAAAAGCCACUUGACUUUUGGGAAGGUGACUCCGGACUCGUGCUGUCGACUGGCUGACUGCCUGCUUGUGUCCACUCGUCGUCAACGUCGAUGGUUGUCUCUUCUCCUUCCCUAGAAAUUUGUUUAGCCGUCCGUGUGUUUGUGCCACGAACGGAGUUUUCUCGGUGUGUCUGGCUGGACGAUUGCCAGCAGCAGCAGGAGAACUCCAUAAUACGGUUCACGUUGUUGUACAUUUCUUCUCUCAGGUUGUUGGUUGGGGUCGUUCCGCUUCGGCACUGCGAGUGCCCCCUAUUAUCUUGACUAGGGUAGAGGCAUCUUGUGUCGUCACGCUUUGACUUAUGGAGCUAGUUCUAUCACCCAAGCUCCCAGAUGUCAGAGAACAAC